GAUGAACGCUGGCGGUGUGCCUAAUACAUGCAAGUCGUACGCAUUCCCGUUUUUGAUUGAAGGUGCUUGCACCUGAUUGAUAAAACAUCGGAAUGAGUGGCGGACGGGUGAGUAACACGUGGUAACCUGCCCAGAAGUGGGGGAUAACAUUUGGAAACAGAUGCUAAUACCGCAUAAUAGAUAGAACCACAUGGUUCUAUUUUGAAAGAUGGCCUUUGUGCUAUCACUUCUGGAUGGACCCGCGGUGUAUUAGCUAGUUGGUAAGGUAACGGCUUACCAAGGCAAUGAUACAUAGCCGAACUGAGAGGUUGAUCGGCCACAAUGGGACUGAGACACGGCCCAUACUCCUACGGGAGGCAGCAGUAGGGAAUCUUCCACAAUGGGCGCAAGCCUGAUGGAGCAACACCGCGUGAGUGAAGAAGGGUUUCGGCUCGUAAAACUCUGUUGUUAAAGAAGAACGUAUCUAGGAGUAACUGCCUAGGUAGUGACGGUAUUUAACCAGAAAGCCACGGCUAACUACGUGCCAGCAGCCGCCGUAA
rnacentral:rRNA from 1 species